AUACGUAGGUGGCAAGCGUUGUCCGGAAUUAUUGGGCGUAAAGCGCGCGCAGGUGGUUCCUUAAGUCUGAUGUGAAAGCCCCCGGCUCAACCGGGGAGGGUCAUUGGAAACUGGGGAACUUGAGUGCAGAAGAGGAUAGUGGAAUUCCAAGUGUAGCGGUGAAAUGCGUAGAGAUUUGGAGGAACACCAGUGGCGAAGGCGACUGGCUGGUCUGUAACUGACACUGAGGCGCGAAAGCGUGGGGAGCAAACAGGAUUAGAUACCCUGGUAGUCCACGCCGUAAACGAUGAGUGCUAAGUGUUGGGGGGUUUCCGCCCCUCAGUGCUGCAGCUAACGCAUUAAGCACUCCGCCUGGGGAGUACGGUCGCAAGACUGAAACUCAAAUGAAUUGACGGGG
rnacentral:rRNA from 1 species